rnacentral:misc_RNA from 1 species
UACGACUCGAUGCUCGCCCUGC